AUCAAGGCGGCAGAGGAUGCGAUAGAUUUAAGCUCUAUUUACAAGAAUUUCUUUCUUGAUA
rnacentral:tRNA from 1 species